rnacentral:lncRNA from 1 species
ACCACACACUUCCUCUCUUAUCUCCACCUAAAACUUCAAACUUCAAACCGCCACUAAAUCUCUGCCUUGUAACUUCUCCACCAUCCAACACCCUUCUCUGUCGUCCAUCAUACUCCCUUCGAUCCGACCUUCACCUUCGGAAAAAAAAAACUCAACUUUUCCCUUCUCCGAUCUACGACACCGCCAACCAUCAUAAACACAUCACAUACAACCUUUCCACCCUUUGAUCCAUUUUCCAAUCGCGUUUUUGAUCCAAUACCACCCUUCACUCACCGGUAACCACCGCGACAUAUCAUCCUUUGCUCUUCUCAAGAUACUCGAACGCGGCUUUAACGAUUUGGAGAAAUCAGGAGCAUUCCAUAUUCCACUUUCGGUGGUCUGAGAAUAACAUUUAUGCACAACAUCAAGUUUUCCGGAUACCCGUGAAUAAGAAAUUCCACAAUAAAAUAAUUCUGCACAGCAACAACUUUCGGUUUUGGGUCGCGUCUUUUCUUCUUACUCGAUUUCAAUGUUGUUGGAUUGUGAUUAAUUUGUUUUUGUAUCUUGAUUCUUUUUCUUUACUAUUUGUUCUGUUUAUAGCAUUUCGUCCUAUUCGUUUAGUGUUUGGUAUGCUUGGCUUUUAUGGUUCUGUUAUGGAUAAGUUGGAUUUCAUGAUAAUCACUUUUAACAGUUUUAAUCGGGUAUUAUAAUACGUAGUUGCUGCUACUGAUUCUAUUUGGUUGAGAUGUAUUAGGUAAGAUCGGACAUUUAUCCGUGAUUUCGACAUUGAUAAUAUGUUGUUAUGACCACCAAUUUCUAUUUUGAUAUCUAUUUUGAUAUGUCAACUUAAUUUUCUACAGCUUCUUUUGUAUGUUAUGGUAUGAUAUUCUAUUUCGAUGAAUGCUAAAGAAGUUGUUGCUGUCAUGAUUCGAGUUGCUGAAUUGCCGUAGAUGUUUGUUGGAAAUAAUAGGUAAUGAGUUCUUUCUAUUUGUACAGACCCUUUAAACUUGAUGUUGUUAACUUUUACUUAAGUUGUUUCUCGUUGUUCUGGAGCUAGCUUGAGUUGAAGUCUUGUUAACUUUUACUUAAGUGAUUUCUCAUUUGUUCCCAGCAUAACAUGUGCUAGUGAGUUCUUUUUUUUAAUUAUUUAUUUUUUUAAUUUGUGUUAUCAUGCUAUUUUAUCUGAGGUUGUCCAUUUCAUGUUAAAUUAUUUCAAAAUUGAAUUGCAUCUUAUGGUUACAAGUUGUUAAAUAUGUAAGACUUGGUGGAACAUGUUGCUUGGUUGCCUUAACAUCUAGUAUUGCAUAAUUUUCCCCCCAACCAUUUUAUGCUUCAUCAUUAUCGUCACUACCUAUUUCUAUCACCAAGAGGAUACUUGGACAUGUCUCUAAUGACAUUGUCAUUUUUAAAGUUGUUUGCUCUAUUUUCUACUUUGUUUCUAGGUUGGACUUGGAUGGAUGGACUGAUAUUGGAAUUAAUAUCCAAUUUUUAUUUGUUUAAAUUCUAUUUUUUUAAUAUUAUAUACUCACUUUUAUCAAUAAUGGUUAUGUUAUAAAUUUUAGUAAAAGGAAACAAGAGAGUCACGUGGUAAGAGUGGGGGACGACUCCCUUUUAUUGCCAUUUUUUUGUUACUUUUAUUUAUUAUUAUUAUUAUUAUUAUUUAUUUUAUUUAUUCUGUUAAUAAAUGGUUUUAUUAUUAUUAUUAUUAUUUAUUUUAUUUAUUCUGUUCAUUUAAUAUUCACACUCCAUUUUCC